rnacentral:rRNA from 1 species
AGAGUCUGACUCUGGCUCAGAACGAACGCUGGCAGCGUGGAUUAGGCAUGCAAGUCGAACGUGAAGCUGUUGAUCAAUUCUUCGGAAGAGUGAUUCAGUGGAAAGUGGCGAAAGGGUGAGUAACGCGUGGGUAACCUACCCUGAAGUUGGGGACAACUCUUCGAAAGGGGAGCUAAUACCGAAUGUGGUCCCCCCCCGCAUGUGGGGGAGACUAAAGGUGGAAUCCUUCGGGAUCUGCCGCUUCUGGAGGGGCCCGCGUGACAUCAGCUUGUUGGUGAGGUAAUGGCUCACCAAGGCUUACGUCUAGCUGGUCUGAGAGGAUGGUCAGCCACACUGGGACUGAGACACUGCCCAGACUCCUACGGGAGGCUGCAGUCGAGAAUCAUUCACAAUGCGCGAAAGCGUGAUGAUGCGACGCUGCGUGGAGGAUGAAGGCCCUAGGGUUGUAAACUCCUGUCAUGAGGGAAAAACCGCACGGAUGUAAAUAGCGUCUGUGUUUGAUGGUACCUCAAGAGGAAGCCACGGCUAACUCUGUGCCAGCAGCCGCGGUGAUACAGAGGUGGCGAGCGUUGUUCGGAUUUACUGGGCGUAAAGCGUACGUAGGUGGUUUCGUGUGUCGGGUGUGAAAGCCCACGGCCCAACCGUGGAAUUGCACUCGAAACUGCGGGACUUGAGUGCAGGAGGGGAGAGCGGAAUUCAGGGUGUAGCGGUGAAAUGCGUUGGUAUCCUGAAGAACACCGGUGGCGAAGGCGGCUCUCUGGAAUGUUACUGACACUGAGGUACGAAAGCGUGGGGAGCGAACAGGAUUAGAUACCCUGGUAGUCCACGCCGUAAACGUUGUGCACUUGGUGUGGGCGGUAUUGACCCCGUCCGUGCCGGAGCUAACGCGUUAAGUGCACCGCCUGGGGAGUACGGCCGCAAGGCUAAAACUCAAAGAAAUUGACGGGGGCCCGCACAAGCGGAGGAGCAUGUGGCUCAAUUCGAUGCAACGCGAAGAACCUUACCUGGACUUGACAUGUAACUGCAUGCCCCGGGAAACCGGGGAGGCCUUCGAGGGUGUUACACAGGUGCUGCAUGGCUGUCGUCAGUUCGUGCCGUGAGGUGUUGGGUUAAGUCCCGCAACGAACGCAACCCUUGUGUUUAGUUGCCACCGGUGGUGAUGAGCCACCGAGCACUCUAAACAGACUGCCUGUACAAGCAGGAGGAAGGUGGGGAUGACGUCAAGUCAGUAUGGCCCUUAUGUCCAGGGCUGCACACGUGCUACAAUGGCCGGUACAAUGGGAAGCAAUACCGCGAGGUGGAGCAAAUCCUCAACACCGGUCCCAGUUCGGAUUGGAGUCUGCAACUCGACUCCAUGAAGUUGGAUUCGCUAGUAAUGCCGUAUCAGCUACGACGGCGUGAAUAUGUUCCCGGGCCUUGUACACACCGCCCGUCACAUCAUGAAAGCCGUCUGCACCCGAAGUCGCCGAGCUAACCCGCAAGGGAGGCAGGUGCCGAAGGUGUGGGUGGUG